GAUGAACGCUGGCGGCGUGCCUAAUACAUGCAAGUCGAGCGAACAGACGAGGAGCUUGCUCCUCUGACGUUAGCGGCGGACGGGUGAGUAACACGUGGAUAACCUACCUAUAAGACUGGGAUAACUUCGGGAAACCGGAGCUAAUACCGGAUAAUAUAUUGAACCGCAUGGUUCAAUAGUGAAAGACGGUUUUGCUGUCACUUAGAGAUGGAUCCGCGCCGCAUUAGCUAGUUGGUAAGGUAACGGCUUACCAAGGCGACGAUGCGUAGCCGACCUGAGAGGGUGAUCGGCCACACUGGAACUGAGACACGGUCCAGACUCCUACGGGAGGCAGCAGUAGGGAAUCUUCCGCAAUGGGCGAAAGCCUGACGGAGCAACGCCGCGUGAGUGAUGAAGGUCUUCGGAUCGUAAAGCUCUGUUAUUAGGGAAGAACAAAUGUGUAAGUAACUAUGCACGUCUUGACGGUACCUAAUCAGAAAGCCACGGCUAACUACGUG
rnacentral:rRNA from 1 species